GACGAACGCUGGCGGCGUGCUUAACACAUGCAAGUCGAACGGAAAGGCCCUGCUUUUGUGGGGUGCUCGAGUGGCGAACGGGUGAGUAACACGUGAGUAACCUGCCCUUGACUUUGGGAUAACUUCAGGAAACUGGGGCUAAUACCGGACAGGAGCUCCUGCUGCAUGGUGGGGGUUGGAAAGUUUCGGCGGUUGGGGAUGGACGCGCGGCUUAUCAGCUUGUUGGUGGGGUAGUGGCUUACCAAGGCUUUGACGGGUCGCCGGCCUGAGAGGGUGACCGGCCACAUUGGGACUGAGAUACGGCCCAGAGUCCUACGGGAGGCAGCGGUGGGGAAUAUUGCACAAUGGGCGGAAGCCUGAUGCAGCAACGCCGCGUGCGGGAUGACGGCCUUCGGGUUGUAAACCGCUUUCGCCUGUGACGAAGCGUGAGUGACGGUAAUGGGUAAAGAAGCACCGGCUAACUACGUG
rnacentral:rRNA from 1 species